UACGGAGGGAGCUAGCGUUGUUCGGAAUUACUGGGCGUAAAGCGCACGUAGGCGGCUUUGUAAGUUAGAGGUGAAAGCCCGGGGCUCAACCCCGGAAUUGCCUUUAAGACUGCAUCGCUUGAAUCCGGGAGAGGUGAGUGGAAUUCCUGGUGUAGCGGUGAAAUGCGCAGAUAUCAGGAGGAACGACCGAUGGCGAAGGCGGGUCUCUGGGCCGAUACUGACGCUGGAGGAGCGAAAGCGGUGGGGAGAAACAGGAU
rnacentral:rRNA from 1 species